rfam:Schistosoma margrebowiei strain Zambia genome assembly, scaffold: SMRZ_scaffold0000065
AGCUUUGUGUAUCUGUGCUGAGAUUUCAUCACAAACCAGACCACAAGGGCUGAUGAGACUCCCAAGUGGAGCG